rnacentral:rRNA from 1 species
UCAUGCCAAUGGCACUGCCCGGUAGCUAAAUGCGGARGAGAUAAGUGCUGAAAGCAUCUAAGCACGAAACUUGCCCCGAGAUGARUUCUCCCUGAGACUUAGAGUCUCCUGAAGGAACGUUGAAGACGACGACGUUGAUAGGCCGGGUGUGUAAGCGCAGCGAUGCGUUGAGCUAACCGGUACUAAUGAACCGUGAGGCUUAACCUUACAACGCCGAAGCUGUU